rnacentral:rRNA from 1 species
AGUGAACGCUGGCGGCGUGCUUAACACAUGCAAGUCGAACGAGAACGGAAUAUAGCUUGCUAUAUUUGUCAGCUAAGUGGCGCACGGGUGAGUAAUGUAUAGAUAACCUGCCCUUAAGAAAGGAAUAACAGUUGGAAACGACUGCUAAUGCCCUAUAUGCCUUUAAUACAUAAGUAUGCAAGGAAACGCUUUAGUGCUUAAGGAUGGGUCUGUAUGGUAUCAGCUUGUUGGUGAGGUAAUGGCUCACCAAGGCUAUGACGCCUAACUGGUUUGAGAGGAUGAUCAGUCACACUGGAACUGAGACACGGUCCAGACUCCUACGGGAGGCAGCAGUGGGGAAUAUUGCACAAUGGACGAAAGUCUGAUGCAGCAACGCCGCGUGGAGGAUGACACAUUUCGGUGCGUAAACUCCUUUUAUAUAGGAAGAUAAUGACGGUACUAUAUGAAUAAGCACCGGCUAACUCCGUGCCAGCAGCCGCGGUAA